AUGGAUUUUUUCGUGAAGGAAAAAUUGCAACAAUGGAAUCUCUGCCAGUUAAUUGAAACAUUUCAAGAGGAAGGAGUGGAUGAACAAAGUUUUAUGCUACUGGAUGACACCAGCAUUGCUGCACUAAUCCCAAGAAUUGGUCUCAGGGUUAAAUUCAAGAAGUUUCAUUCAGAGUUUUUGGGAUCUCUGGGCCAUAGCCCCAUCAACAAUGAAUCAUGUCCCAAUCAGCCUGUAAGGAAUGAACAACCAAAACCAACUGAGACAAUAGUGGAAAGCUGCAAGACGAGAACAACAAGCAACUCCACAUUUGAUAUACGAGAAAUACUUAGAAAAUCUGGAGGACUAGCAUUAAUAACAUCCUUAGAAAGGGACAGGCACCUAAGCCUCAAGGAGAGACGUCAGAUGGUGCGGUUGUUGGUUUCUCAUUUGAUGGAGAGAUUUGGGGAAAACCCAACAGCUGAGAUCAAAAAGGAGAUGGCUCUGGCGCUAACUUGCCAGUUUCCUUGUCUGAAAAAUAGUGAGGGACAUGGAUAUGAGGCAUGGUAUACACCUGGUCGUUAUCUUCACCCUGCAACAGGGUAUUUAGAAGAAAGACUGCGCAACGUGAGGAAACGGCUUAGAGCCCCACACAGCCAGAGACAGUACAGCCAGCCACAGUCAUCUCAGAAUUCCUCUUCUCGACCAAGUUUUCCACUGCCAGAGUCUGAGUUGUCUUUGACUGACAUUCACACAAUGAUUGAGUGGCUAAAGAACAACCGAAGCCCUCACAGUCAAGUGGAGGAGUUCAUGAAACGUACAGCACCUCAUCGGGCUGCAUGGAUUCGAACUUCUGGAACAAAAACUAUUGAGGAAAUCAAUAGAGAAUAUCCUAGACUUCGUGACAUUCCUGGAAUGAUAUCGCAGGACUUUAAAGUUAUAUUCCCUGACCAGGCGGACCGCCUUUAUGAAUUCUGGGCUCCUGUCAUCACUGACCGGAUUUUACUCUUUGCAAAGAAAGAACCCAAGGCUUCAGAUGUUCUUCCAGAAAAUCUGGAAACACUGGCAAUAGGUGUUCGUGCAGAAAUUGCCUUUAAAACCCUUCCUGCCAUCCUGCCAUCUGCACCAUACCGCACAAAUGGAAAAAUGGUGCGCCCAACAUACACAGAAAUGAAGCAGUCCUUCAUUGACAUUCAACCUGUUGGCACUAAUAUAGUGCAGUACUUGAACCACGAGACAAGCCAGAAUCCACAUCUCCUGGUGCUUGGUGACAAGGAAGACUCUUCCCAAGUUUUUAUUAUUUUCAACGGGGAGGCGAUGGAACAGGAGACACUACUACAAGCAGUCGAUCUGUGUUUCAAACUUUUCUUUGUAUAUGACAUCAACUACCCAAAGCCCUCUGCUCCCAUUUGGGAGUUUUUGGAGCACACAGUCUUUAAUAUUCCAGGUGGAGUUCCUUCUGCACACUGCCUCCUCCUUAAAAACUUUGUAUUUAGUAAUCAGUAAACAAAAAUAUUUUUUGUUUUAUUGUUAUGUUUAUAUGUUAUGUUUUUGUGAACUGUAUGUGCACAUUUGUGUGUUUUGAUAUGAAUAUGAAUUGACACACGUGUACAUCUUGAAAAUGUCUGUUUUUACACAUUCGUGUACAGUUAUAUAAAAUAUUUCAAAAUAUAUUUGUUAAUGUAUUAUUUGCAUAUUUAAAUAAAAUCUGUAAUUUACAACA
ensembl:lncRNA